GUCUAAGUAGUUUAUAUUUUAAUAAAAAAUUUUAAGUUGUGGUCUUAUAGAAAGGGUUUCUCUCUUGGAUA
rnacentral:tRNA from 1 species